UCCGGAGGGGGCUAGCGUUGUUCGGAAUUACUGGGCGUAAAGCGCACGUAGGCGGAUCGUUAACUCGGGGGUGAAAUCCCAGGGCUCAACCCUGGAACUGCCUUCGAUACUGGCUAUCUGGAGAUCGAGAGAGGCGAGUGGAAAGCCGAGUGUAGAGGUGAAAUUCGUAGAUAUUCGGCGGAACACCAGUGGCGAAGGCGGCUCGCUGGCUCGAGACUGACGCUGAGGUGCGAAUGCGUGGGGAGUAAACAGG
rnacentral:rRNA from 1 species